UUUACUUCCCACCAGCAAUGUGUGAAAGAGCCAACAUCCUCUCUGUAUCCUCUCUCCAGAAUUUGGGGUAUCAGAAGAUUUGGACUUUCCAUGGCUGCAUCAUCUUCCCCUCUUGCCGUUUGUAGAGAGUGUCUGGAAGGAUGAAGUGCUGUGUGAUAGAGAGUUGCUUUCUUCCUGAAGACCAGCAGAGAUGCUUCAGUCUGAACUACUGUAUAAGAAGAUGGACA